GUAGCAGGAAGUGCUUGCACUUUGCUGACGAGUGGCGGACGGGUGAGUAAUACUUAGGAACAUGCCUUUGUGUGGGGGAUAACCAUUGGAAACGAUGGCUAAUACCGCAUAAUGUCUUUGGACCAAAGAGGGCUUUCGGGCUCUCGCGCAAAGAGUGGCCUAAGUGAGAUUAGCUUGUUGGUGAGGUAAAGGCUCACCAAGGCGACGAUCUCUAGCUGUUCUGAGAGGAAGAUCAGCCACACUGGGACUGAGACACGGCCCAGACUCCUACGGGAGGCAGCAGUGGGGAAUAUUGCACAAUGGGGGCAACCCUGAUGCAGCCAUGCCGCGUGUGUGAAGAAGGCCUUCGGGUUGUAAAGCACUUUCAGUUGUGAGGAAAGGUUGGUGGUUAAUACCCAUCAGCUGUGACGUUAGCAACAGAAGAAGCACCGGCUAACUCCGUGCCAGCAGCCGCGGUAAUACGGAGGGUGCGAGCGUUAAUCGGAAUUACUGGGCGUAAAGCGCACGCAGGCGGUUUGUUAAGCUAGAUGUGAAAGCCCCGGGCUCAACCUGGGACGGUCAUUUAGAACUGGCAGACUAGAGUCUUGGAGAGGGGAGUGGAAUUCCAGGUGUAGCG
rnacentral:rRNA from 1 species